rnacentral:lncRNA from 1 species
UCAGUUGUUUGUUCGGAAAAAAAGUUAUUAAUACCAACUGCUCGUUAUAAGGCAAUUGCCCAAAAACCUUUGUGUCCAAGGACAAUGUACCGAACGGACAUUUUGCCGAAGAACAAUCUGCCAAAUGUAAAUAGCUCAAAACACCAAGGAAUGUUGAAAUAAUUGAGAGGUAAUUUGAAAACAGGAGAGAGAUUUCAGACGUAAUUUUUUUUUUUACCCAGUGGUCACCACCAAAAAGUUUAUCGUCGAUAAAGAUGGUGGACGAGUUGAAUGGAAGCAACAAGAAGAAUUCGAAAAAUAUGAAAAGGGGACAUAAGCUGGAAAUAAAGAAACGGAAAAAAUCUAAUUAACUUUCGUUCAAAAUAUGCUUUUAUGUUUUUACGAAAUUGAAGGAUGAAUCUGGUAAUUUUUUUUUUGGUCAAAACCCGAAGAGUAACAACUCCUUUUCUUGGAUUUAUUGGACUCAAAUAUGUCUAUAAAAUAUGGGACAAUAUGUAACACGUGGUAUCAAAUUACAAUGCUUCUUGUUAAUCAAGAAUACUGUUCAUGCUAAGGAAUAGCUUCAAAAGUAUUUUGUCGACUCCGCUUCUUGAAGCGGGACUUUUCAGUGACUUUGGUAUGAUUAGGGAUGAGUUUUUUUAAGAGCGCGAGGAAAAGGCUGGAGUAAGAAAUAUGGUACACCUGAAUAAUGGUAUUAUUUAAUAUCAGCUGCCUUUUUCAUUAUUUUUGAGGGACAAAAAGAAUUACGCUCCUAUGAAGAGGAGAACCUUCCACAUUUAAAAUAGUCUUUG